UUGAGAAAAAAAGCAGUCUUUUAAAUCUCACAAUUAGUUACAGAAAAAUAGCAUUGCAUACAAAGACUAUGAAAGAAUAGACAAUAAUUUCUCCCGGAAAUAAAUAAGUUAAUUACAUAAAAUAAAUAUCCAACAUUUAUUGCAGGUAUCACGGCAUUGGGAUUAAGGGAUAAAUGUUAACACUUUAUGCCGGCGAGCCAUGUUGAUAGGCUAUUUCCGAGAACGCUUAUCAAUAAGCUUUCAAUUUAUAUAUUACUCUAUAGGUAUACUAAUCAUUCGAGCAUUAUUAACAUUUUAAUUUUUUCAUUAUUCAGUUGUAGAACAUAUGUAGUCACACGAUAAACAAAACUAGCCCGUUUUACGCACAAUUCGCACCCACGUUAUUCGGCCGAGCAUAAGGUGUUAAUAUUUCGGAUCUCUUUCGUAUUCAGUUAUUGUUAUCGGGCAUACAAAACGGAAUAUGAAAUGACGAGGAUUCCGCAAUAUGCGCAGAAUAGAACGUCGUCGGUGUAAUCGAGGCUUUCUGCAGGGUUUCAAUACGAACGUAGUAAAAAAUUACAACAGAUAAGUAACAUAAGUUUUUUGUACCACGAUUAUUAUGCCCACUCGAUGUAUGAGAAAUACACACUUCUGAGAAAACA